UUCGGGACGCUGGGGCUCCGGAGGAAGCGGCGAGUCGGCGGGGCGGAGGGGGCGGGAGCGCGAACCAGGAACGCCCGCGGCAGCUAGCGUCUGGACGACUAGGGAGACCGGGCGAGAGGGCCGAGGAACGAGGGACGGGGAGGGACUGUACGUGGGAGAGUGACACACAAAACACCCCGGGAAGCCGGAGGAGGCGUGGAAAGGUGGGGCCCGGGAGGUAAAACUGGGAUCGGCGCGUUCAGUGAGGCUGAUUAAAGAACAACGCGCAACCAGCGCCAUACGGCGCUCCUCAGGGUGACUCGGCUCUCUAGCUCUUAAGGGUUAGAAGCGACCCUCGCACGGUCCCCGGUGGGUCACCGCGCGAGGGCGGGGCAGUCCAGGCGACCCCUCGGCCGUCUCCCGUCCUACGGCUGUCAGGGAAGGGCUCCGGUUCCGGUAGGGUCUGCAUUUGGAAAGCCGGGGGCGAUGCAAGACCGCCUUGGCGUCGUCUCCCUCUCAGCCCCGGCUGAGCUGUCGGAUGGUCCCCCUCCCCCGGUUGCAAGCAGUAGGAGACCCGGCCGGCGGCGCCGGCUCGCCGAGGGAGCGCCUCGACCUCCCCGGCAGGCGCCGGCCCCGCGCGCCUCUUCCUGCUCUGCUGCGGCCCGGAGGCUUGUGGGUAACCGGGAGGACGACGUCAGCGCCCGCCGCAUCCCCGGGUGCCCCCCAGCCGCGGGGGACCGCGACGGCUCCGUGACCGUCACGUGCCGGAGGCCGCGGCUGCUCGCGGCCAGACCUUCGCAUCGAGGGACGUGAGGGACAUUUGUCCUAGAGGGCCCAAGAUAAGAACGAGAGGAAGAACCGGGAGGCAACUCUCCGUCAUCCUCUAGCCCCCCGCAUCCUAGGAAACGUAUGGAAAACAAUGGAAGGUUAAGUGUGUGCACAGUGAUCUGGCCCUGCAGGAGUGUGCCGACCAGGUGAUAUUUCCUGGGGCCUGGUGAUAAGGAUUUGGAAGGUUACAGCACAGAGACGUGAACGUAAAAAGGAAACAGAGGCAGCAAGCAAAUGAGGAAACCGAUACUCUGUUCUGAGAAUAAAGCCAUUUUACCGCUAGACGUCAUA
ensembl:lncRNA novel transcript